GAAACCGGAGCACCCGGAGUAAACCCACCCUGAACAGGUUGCCAGCCUAUCACAGGCUGACACAUAGAGACAGACAACUAUACAGUACAAUACAAUACAACUGUACAGACUGUGGAAGGAAACCGGAGCACCUGGAGUAAACCCACCCUGAACAGGUUGCCAGCCUAUCACAGGCUGACACAUAGAGACAGACAACUAUACAAUACAAUACAAUACAACUGUACAGACUGUGGGAGGAAAUGCUCACAUUUUCACCUAUGGUCAAUUUAAAGUCAACAAUUAACCUGCAUGUCUUUGGACUUUGGGAGGAAACCGGAGCACCCUGA